GUUGUUCGGGAUUAACAUCCUGAGUAACGUAGCUAACGCGUGAAGUCAGCCGCCUGGGGAGUAUGGUCGCAAGAUUAAAACUCAAAGGAAUUGACGGGGACCCGCACAAGCGGUGGAUGAUGUGGAUUAAUUCGAUGCAACGCGAAAAACCUUACCUACCCUUGACAUGUCACUAACGAAGUAGAGAUACAUUAGGUGCUCGUAAGAGAAAGUGAACACAGGUGCUGCAUGGCUGUCGUCAGCUCGUGUCGUGAGAUGUUGGGUUAAGUCCCGCAACGAGCGCAACCCUUGUCUUUAGUUGCUACGCAAGAGCACUCUAAAGAGACUGCCGGUGACAAACCGGAGGAAGGUGGGGAUGAUGUCAAGUCCUCAUGGCCCUUAUGGGUAGGGCUUCACACGUCAUACAAUGGUGCAUACAGAGGGUUGCCAACCCGCGAGGGGGAGCUAAUCUCAGAAAAUGCAUCGUAGUCCGGAUCGUAGUCUGCAACUCGACUACGUGAAGCUGGAAUCGCUAGUAAUCGCGGAUCAGAAUGUCGCGGUGAAUACGUUCCCGGGUCUUGUACACACCGCCCGUCAUACCAUGGGAGUGGGUUUUGCCAGAAGCCGUUAGCCUAACCGCAAGGAGGGCGACUGCCAC
rnacentral:rRNA from 1 species